rnacentral:rRNA from 1 species
GACGAACGCUGGCGGCGUGCUUAACACAUGCAAGUCGAACGGAGAGGCCCUGCUUGCAGGGUACUCGAGUGGCGAACGGGUGAGUAACACGUGGGUGAUCUGCCCUGCACUUCGGGAUAAGCCUGGGAAACUGGGUCUAAUACCGGAUAGGAGCCAUUUUUAGUGUGAUGGUUGGAAAGUUUUUUCGGUGUAGGAUGAGCUCGCGGCCUAUCAGCUUGUUGGUGGGGUAAUGGCCUACCAAGGCGGCGACGGGUAGCCGGCCUGAGAGGGUGGACGGCCACAUUGGGACUGAGAUACGGCCCAGACUCCUACGGGAGGCAGCAGUGGGGAAUAUUGCACAAUGGGCGCAAGCCGGAUGCAGCGACGCCGCGUGGGGGAUGACGGCCUUCGGGUUGUAAACUCCUUUCGCUAGGGACGAAGCUUUUUGUGACGGUACCUAGAUAAGAAGCACCGGCUAACUACGUG